rnacentral:rRNA from 1 species
UACGUAGGGGGCAAGCGUUGUCCGGAAUUAUUGGGCGUAAAGAGCGCGUAGGCGGUCCGAUAAGUCGGCUGUGAAAGUCAGGGGCUCAACCCUUGGAAGCCGGCCGAUACUGUCGGACUAGAGUCCGGAAGAGGCGAGUGGAAUUCCCGGUGUAGCGGUGAAAUGCGCAGAUAUCGGGAGGAACACCAAUGGCGAAGGCAGCUCGCUGGGACGGUACUGACGCUGAGACACGAAAGCCAGGGGAGCGAACGGG